AUACAGAGGGUGCGAGCGUUAAUCGGAAUUACUGGGCGUAAAGCGCGCGUAGGCGGUUACUUAAGUCAGAUGUGAAAUCCCCGGGCUCAACCUGGGAACUGCAUCUGAUACUGGGUAGCUAGAGUUUAGGAGAGGGAAGUAGAAUUUCAGGUGUAGCGGUGAAAUGCAUAGAGAUCUGAAGGAAUACCAGUGGCGAAGGCGGCUUCCUGGCCUAAAACUGACGCUGAGGUGCGAAAGCGUGGGUAGCAAACGGGAUUAGAAACCCGAGUAGUCC
rnacentral:rRNA from 1 species